rnacentral:rRNA from 1 species
CCUGAGACUUUAAGUCUCCUGAAGGAACGUUAAAGACGAUGACGUUGAUAGGCCGGGUGUGUAAGCGCAGCGAUGCGUUGAGCUAACCGGUACUAAUGAACCGUGAGGCUUAACCUUACAACGCCGAAG